rnacentral:rRNA from 1 species
AACGAACGCUGGCGGCAUGCCUAACACAUGCAAGUCGAACGAGACCUUCGGGUCUAGUGGCGCACGGGUGCGUAACGCGUGGGAACCUGCCCUUAGGUUCGGAAUAACUCCCCGAAAGGGGUGCUAAUACCGGAUAAUGUCUUCGGACCAAAGAUUUAUCGCCUUUGGAUGGGCCCGCGUUGGAUUAGCUAGUUGGUAGGGUAAAAGCCUACCAAGGCGACGAUCCAUAGCUGGUCUGAGAGGAUGAUCAGCCACACUGGGACUGAGACACGGCCCAGACUCCUACGGGAAGCUGCAGUGGGGAAUAUUGGACAAUGGGCGAAAGCCUGAUCCAGCAAUGCCGCGUGAGUGAUGAAGGCCUUAGGGUUGUAAAGCUCUUUUACCCGGGAUGAUAAUGACAGUACCGGGAGAAUAAGCUCCGGCUAACUCCGUG